rnacentral:misc_RNA from 1 species
UUGGAUACACAAAAUUGAUUAUCUUACAAGAGGGAAGAAAAAUUUUUGUGAGAAACUUUGCAAAAUUGGUUUAUAUGUUUCAACCACACAACGUCUUUUAUCUCAAGAUUGAAGGUGAGAUCGUGCCUAAUGUGGUCGUGCUAUGGAAUGGGGUUCUUAUGUUGACGUGACCAAAAGAUAUCUAACUCCUUCCAAGUGCACACG